GCGAGUCCUCUGUAAGCCGCAGAAACUGUGGCUUUCAGCGAGCCCUGUCACGGCUGAGGUCGCGGGUUCAAGUCCCGUCGCUCGCGCCA
rnacentral:tRNA from 1 species